UACGAGUGGUGCUAGCGUUAUUCGGAAUUAUUGGGCGUAAAGGGUGCGCAGGCGGUAUAUUAAGUCAGCUGUUAAAGACCUCAGCCUAACUGGGGAUCGGCGGUAGAUACUGAUAUACUAGAGGGUGGAAGAGAGAAGUGGAAUUCUUGGAGUAGCGGUAAAAUGCGUAGAUCUCAAGAGGAACACCGAUGGCGAAGGCAGCUUCUUGGUCCACAUCUGACGCUCAUGCACGAAAGCGUGGGGAGCAAACAGG
rnacentral:rRNA from 1 species